AGCGAACGCUGGCGGCAGGCCUAACACAUGCAAGUCGAACGAACCUUUCGGGGUUUGUGGCGGACGGGUGGUUACCACCUGGUAACUUGCCCUUAGGUACGGUAUCACUCAGGGAAACUUGUCCUAAUACCGCAUGUGCCCUUCGGGGGAAAGAUUUGUCGCCUUUAGAGCGGCCCGCGUCUGAUUAGCUAGUUGGUUGAGGUAAUGGCUCACCAAGGCGACGAUCAGUAGCUGGUCUGAGAGGAUGAUCAGCCACAUUGGGGCUGAGACACGGCCCAAACUCCUAGGCAAGGGAGGAGAGGGUAAUAUAGCGCAAUGGGGGAUGGCCUGACGCAGCCAUGCCGGGUAAAUGAUGAAGGUCGUAGGAUAGUAAAAUUCUUUCACCGGGGACGAUAAUGACGGUACCGGGAGAAGAAGCCCCGGCUAACUACGUG
rnacentral:rRNA from 1 species